UUAGGAUUGAGCUCACCGCUCU
rnacentral:misc_RNA from 1 species